rnacentral:rRNA from 1 species
UACAGAGGUCUCAAGCGUUGUUCGGAUUCAUUGGGCGUAAAGGGUGUGUAGGUGGCGCGCUAAGUCGGGUGUGAAAUCUCGGAGCUUAACUCCGAAACUGCAUUCGAUACUGCCGUGCUUGAGGACUGGAGAGGAGACUGGAAUUUACGGUGUAGCGGUGAAAUGCGUAGAUAUCGUAAGGAAGACCAGUGGCGAAGGCGGGUCUCUGGACAGUUCCUGACGCUGAGGCACGAAGGUCAGGGGAGCAAACAGG